AGUGAACGCUGGCGGUAGGCCUAACACAUGCAAGUCGAACGGCAGCACAGUAAGAGCUUGCUCUUACGGGUGGCGAGUGGCGGACGGGUGAGGAAUACAUCGGAAUCUACUUUUUCGUGGGGGAUAACGUAGGGAAACUUACGCUAAUACCGCAUACGACCUACGGGUGAAAGCAGGGGAUCUUCGGACCUUGCGCGAUUGAAUGAGCCGAUGUCGGAUUAGCUAGUUGGCGGGGUAAAGGCCCACCAAGGCGAAGAUCCGUAGCUGGUCUGAGAGGAUGAACAGCAGCAGUGGAACUGAGACACGGUGCAGAGCACGACGGGAGGACGCAGUGGGGAAGAUGGGAGAAGGGGGGCAGGUCUGAUCAAGCUAUACGGCGGAGGUAAAGAAGGCCUGCGGGUUGCAAAGCCCUUUGGUUGAGAAAGAAAACUUUCAGGCUAAUACCCUGGGAGGAUGACGGGAGCAAAAGAAUAAGCACCGACUAACUUGGUG
rnacentral:rRNA from 1 species